UAAAAAGAUUUGUUCUUCUGAACGAAACGUUAGCGAACGAAACAACACUAUCCACCGAGCCACACCGACAAGCCUUCACCAAGCCCCACGGGAGUCGCCGUGGCAAUAUCUGUUUUGCUGGGCGCAGGACAUGCCUCCACCACCUUAGUCAUUGCCAGCAGGCCGCUGGCACGCUCGAACCAGGUGACCGAAAGAGGGAACUGGGGGCACUUGGGCUCUCUUGGUCACUGGCUGCCCCUCUCCUGUGACUGCUGCAUGUUUCCCGAUGCCUUUUGUUGAAGACAGCCUAUGGCCCUGUGUCCUGUUUGACCACACAUAAAGCAAUGCUGGGACCAUCCUCUUUUCGGGCUUCCCAAUGUGCUUAUCACCCCCCAACAUUGGAAUCAGUACUUCCGCUACAGCCACAAGAAAAGUUCAGUCGAUGUUGGGAAAUGCUGUGGCUGCAGUAUAAGGCCUUUCAAGUCAAGAUGCAUUGAUUUGUGUUUUGUAUUUCCAUUG